GAUGAACGCUGGCGGCGUGCCUAAUACAUGCAAGUAGAACGCUGAAGGAGGAGCUUGCUCUUCUGGAUGAGUUGCGAACGGGUGAGUAACGCGUAGGUAACCUGCCUGGUAGCGGGGGAUAACUAUUGGAAACGAUAGCUAAUACCGCAUGACAACAGUUAUUGCAUGAUAACUGUUUAAAAGGGGCAACUGCUCCACUACCAGAUGGACCUGCGUUGUAUUAGCUAGUUGGUGAGGUAACGGCUCACCAAGGCGACGAUACAUAGCCGACCUGAGAGGGUGAUCGGCCACACUGGGACUGAGACACGGCCCAGACUCCUACGGGAGGCAGCAGUAGCGAAUCUUCGGCAAUAGACGGAAGUCUGACCGAGCAACGCCGCGUGAGUGAAGAAGGUUUUCGGAUCGUAAAGCUCUGUUGUAAGAGAAGAACGAGUGUGAGAGUGGAAAGUUCACACUGUGACGGUAUCUUACCAGAAAGGGACGGCUAACUACGUG
rnacentral:rRNA from 1 species